rnacentral:rRNA from 1 species
AUUGAACGCUGGCGGCAGGCCUAACACAUGCAAGUCGAGCGGAUGAAGGGAGCUUGCUCCUGGAUUCAGCGGCGGACGGGUGAGUAAUGCCUAGGAAUCUGCCUGGUAGUGGGGGAUAACGUCCGGAAACGGGCGCUAAUACCGCAUACGUCCUGAGGGAGAAAGUGGGGGAUCUUCGGACCUCACGCUAUCAGAUGAGCCUAGGUCGGAUUAGCUAGUUGGUGGGGUAAAGGCCUACCAAGGCGACGAUCCGUAACUGGUCUGAGAGGAUGAUCAGUCACAACGGGAAUGAGAAACGGGCCAGACCCCCUAGGGGGGGAACGAGGGGGAAUAUUUGGCAAAUGGGGGAAACCCUGUCCAAGCAUGGCCGGGGGGGGAAAAAAGGUUUUGGGUUUUUAAACACCUUUAAGUGGGGGGGAAGGGAAGAAAGUUAAACCCUUCUUUUUUGGCCUUUCCAAAAAAAAAAAACCCCGCUAAACUUCUG